CACGGGGGGAGCAAGCGUUGUUCGGAAUCACUGGGCGUAAAGGGUGCGUAGGCGGCGCGGUAAGUCGGGUGUGAAAUCUUGGAGCUUAACUCCGAAACUGCAUUCGAUACUGCCGUGCUUGAGGACUGGAGAGGAGACUGGAAUUUACGGUGUAGCGGUGAAAUGCGUAGAGAUCAUGAGGAAGACCAGUGGCGAAGGCGGGUCUCUGGACAGUUCCUGACACUGAGACACGAAGGCCAGGGGAGCAAACGGG
rnacentral:rRNA from 1 species